rnacentral:rRNA from 1 species
UGGGGAAUAUUGGACAAUGGGCGAAAGCCUGAUCCAGCCAUGCCGCGUGUGUGAAGAAGGUCUUCGGAUUGUAAAGCACUUUAAGUUGGGAGGAAGGGCAGUAAGCGAAUACCUUGCUGUUUUGACGUUACCGACAGAAUAAGCACCGGCUAACUCUGUGCCAGCAGCCGCGGUAAUACAGAGGGUGCAAGCGUUACUCGGAAUUACUGGGCGUAAAGCGCGCGUAGGUGGUUCGUUAAGUUGAAUGUGAAAGCCCCGGGCUCAACCUGGGAACUGCAUCCAAAACUGGCGAGCUAGAGUAGGGCAGAGGGUGGUGGAAUUUCCUGUGUAGCGGUGAAAUGCGUAGAUAUAGGAAGGAACACCAGUGGCGAAGGCGACCACCUGGGCUCAUACUGACACUGAGGUGCGAAAGCGUGGGGAGCAAACAGG